rnacentral:tRNA from 1 species
UGCCUGGUGGUCUAGUAGUUAGGAUUAGGCACCUUCACUGCUGCAACCCAGGUUCAAUUCCUGGUCUGGGAA